GAGAUUGGAAUUGGAGAAGAAAGGAUGGGCUACAGUAGACAGUUUUUAAGGAAAAUUUUAUAUUUCUUGAGGAAAUGUUGAAUGGAGGAUGGUGCUCUUUAUGCAAUCCCUCCAUCUCAACUUGUUUAUAUAAUGGGCCCAAAAAAUUGGCUCCCACAAGCUCGUAUUA